rnacentral:rRNA from 1 species
AUUGAACGCUGGCGGCAUGCCUAACACAUGCAAGUCGAACGGCAGCACAAUAAAGAUUUCGGUCUUUAUGGGUGGCGAGUGGCGGACGGGUGAGUAACGCGUAGGAAUCUGCCCUGGCGAGUGGGAUAACCCGAGGAAACUCGGGCUAAUACUGCAUGACAUUGAGAGAUCAAAAGCAGGGGACCGAAAGGCCUUGCGCUCUGGGGUGAGCCUACGUCGGAUUAGCUAGUUGGUGGGGUAAAGGCCUACCAAGGCGACGAUCCGUAGCUGGUCUGAGAGGAUGACCAGCCACACGUGGACUGAGACACGGCCCAGACUCCUACGGGAGGCAGCAGUGGGGAAUCUUGGACAAUGGGGGAAACCCUGAUCCAGCGAUGCCGCGUGUGUGAAGAAGGCCUUCGGGUUGUAAGGCACUUUAGGUGGGGAAGAAAGGUAGCGAGUGAAUAACUUUCUGCUGUGACGGUACCCACAGAAUAAGCACCGGCUAACUCUGUGCCAGCCGCCGCAGUAA